UACCACAGGUAUAUUGAGAUUGCAAUCAAGCAGUGCAGAAGCUCUGGGAUUGAUUGUAAAAUACAUGGCCUCAGCAUACUGGGCCGUAUACGUGCAGAGGAUGAAGAUCUGGCUGCUGUCCCUUUCCUUGCUUCUGAUAAUGAGGAAGAGGAUGACGAUAAAGCUAACACUGGGAGCCUUGUUAGAAAGAAGGCAGCUGGGCUUGAAUCGGCAGCUACAAUAAGAACCAAAGUUUUUGUUUGGGGACUGAAUGACAAAGAUCAACUGGGAGGCCUAAAAGGUUCCAAGAUAAAGGUCCCUUCCUUUUCUGAAACCCUGUCUGCCUUGAAUGUUGUACAAGUAGCUGGAGGCUCCAAAAGCCUUUUUGCAGUGACUGUAGAAGGUAAAGUAUAUGCCUGUGGAGAAGCCACAAAUGGAAGGCUGGGUUUAGGAAUAUCUAGUGGAACUGUGCCUAUUCCCCGCCAGAUUACAGCUCUCAGUAACUAUGUGGUAAAGAAGGUGGCUGUUCACUCAGG